GUUCUUUCUGAGAGAGCUCUCCAGCACACAGGCUUCAGCUGCGUCACUGUGAAGCCUUGCUUAGCAGUCGACCUGGCUGCUGGUCUGCCUCCUGUCUCCUCUCUUGCUUUGCUGCUGAACCAGAACCUCAGUACUCUUGGCUCUGUGUGGUCCCUUGGUGGAUGAGUGAAUGUGGAAAGGGGUUUCCUGAAGGAAAGGCGUUGGAAGAUCACUGGAUUGCCGCUCCUGCUAGCCUCCACAGCAGAACUGCAUUGCUGCUUUCGUGAUCUCUGUGAUGAGACUGGAAAACAAAGGAUAAACACGACAAUCGCUUACAAGGUCCCUGGAAGCCUGUGCCACAUCAAAUCUUCCAGUAAUGCUGUGCUCAUCUGCCAUUUAAAAUGUGCUGAAAAUGCAUUUGUGAUAUACAGUGUAGAAAGACAAGAGGAAACUUCCAGGUGCCCCACAAAAUGCUUUAUGGAGCCUAUUAUGGAGAGAGACCCUUUUCCAAGGGCACUGACCCACAAAUACAAACAACAAAGUAAACCCAGUUCAAAACAAAGUUUGUCUCAUGUGGAGCAUCUGACCAAACUAUGAAGAACACCACAUAAGAAAUACUGAGUGAAAAUAUUUGUGUGUCUCCAUCCAAAAACUUUUAAAUAAAACAGACUCUCCUGUUUUGGCAGUUGA